rnacentral:rRNA from 1 species
GUGGGGAAUCUUGCGCAAUGGGCGAAAGCCUGACGCAGCCAUGCCGCGUGAAUGAUGAAGGUCUUAGGAUUGUAAAAUUCUUUCACCGGGGACGAUAAUGACGGUACCCGGAGAAGAAGCUCCGGCUAACUUCGUGCCAGCAGCCGCGGUAAUACGAAGGGGGCUAGCGUUGCGCGGAAUUACUGGGCGUAAAGGGCGCGUAGGCGGACAGCUUAGUCAGAGGUGAAAGCCCAGGGCUCAACCUUGGAAUUGCCUUUGAUACUGGCUGUCUUGAGUUUGGGAGAGGUGGGUGGAACUCCGAGUGUAGAGGUGAAAUUCGUAGAUAUUCGGAAGAACACCAGUGGCGAAGGCGACUCACUGGCCCAAUACUGACGCUGAGGCGCGAAAGCGUGGGGAGCAAACAGGAUUAGAUACCCCGGUAGUCC